AACUCUUCUGUGUGUUUAGAACAAGUGGUUAACGAUAUUGAGUACUAUGCGCUCUACUACGGGAGAGCAGAACGACCAACGACCCAAUAUAAUAAACUUAUUUUUGGAAUGGGGCGGAGUGCUUGAAGCUUGCUUCCCCUCCGCCACGGGCUGGCCCGGUAUCGCACUAUCUCCGGGAACGGCCCACUCACC